AUUUCGUUCUCGGUGAUUGGGCAUAGUGAUUUUGAUGCAUCGCCUGAUCUCAUUCUCACACAGGAUAUCAAUGGGGUGAAUGCCGGUACUCAACCUAUUGAUGCACAUGGACAUGAUGACUCUCUAGCAUUUAUGGACCAACCAACCUGUAAUCAUGGACCUUAUUGUCUUGUAGACCAUUUGGCGUUUCGAGUGUUUUGGAGCUUGCACUUUGUGCAUGUAGAUACAAACUUUUGUGUUCUGGACCAUCUGAAGUCUCUCAUAGUAACCAAUAGUCCUUA